rnacentral:rRNA from 1 species
GGAGGGAGCGAGCGUUGUUCGGAAUCACUGGGCGUAAAGGGCGCGUAGGCGGCCGAGUAAGUCGUGUGUGAAAGACCGGGGCUCAACUCCGUGUACUGCAUGCGAUACUGCCCGGCUAGAGAAAGGUAGAGGCGAGUGGAAUUCCCGGUGUAGCGGUGGAAUGCGUAGAUAUCGGGAAGAACACCUGUGGCGAAGGCGGCUCGCUGGGCCUUUUCUGACGCUGAAGUGCGAAAGCGUGGGGAGCAAACAGGAUUAGAUACCCUGGUAGUCCACGCCGUAAACGAUGGGCACUAGGCGUUGGGAGGAUUGACCCUCUCAGUGCCGUAGCUAACGCGUUAAGUGCCCCCGCCUGGGGAGUACGGCCGCAAGGCUA